GUAGGGAAUAUUGCGCAAUGGGGGAAACCCUGACGCAGCGACGCCGCGUGAGUGAUGAAGGCCUUCGGGUCGUAAAGCUCUGUUGCAGGGGAAUAAAAAAAUGAAGGUACCCUGUGAGGAAGGAUCGGCUAACUUCGUGCCAGCAGCCGCGGUAAGUCGAGGGAUCCUAGCGUUGCUCGGAAUCAUUGGGCGUAAAGAGGGCGUAGGUGGCUUGGUAAGUCAGGUGUGAAAGCCCAGGGCUCAACCAUGGAAGUGCAUUUGAUACUGCUGAGGUUGAGUGUCGGAGAGGUUACCGGAAUACCUGGUGUAGUGGUGAAAUACGUAGAUAUCAGGUGGAACACCGGAGGCGAAGGCGGGUAACUGGACGAACACUGACACUGAGGCCCGAAAGCGUGGGGAUCAAACAGGAUUAGAAACCCCAGUAGUCC
rnacentral:rRNA from 1 species